AACGAACGCUGGCGGCAUGCCUAACACAUGCAAGUCGAACGAGACCUUCGGGUCUAGUGGCGCACGGGUGCGUAACGCGUGGGAACCUGCCCUUAGGUUCGGAAUAACUCCCCGAAAGGGGUGCUAAUACCGGAUAAUGUCUUCGGACCAAAGAUUUAUCGCCUUUGGAUGGGCCCGCGUUGGAUUAGCUAGUUGGUGGAGUAAAAGCCUACCAAGGCGACGAUCCAUAGCUGGUCUGAGAGGAUGAUCAGCCACACUGGGACUGAGACACGGCCCAGACUCCUACGGGAGGCAGCAGUGGGGAAUAUUGGACAAUGGGCGAAAGCCUGAUCCAGCAAUGCCGCGUGAGUGAUGAAGGCCUUAGGGUUGUAAAGCUCUUUUACCCGGGAUGAUAAUGACAGUACCGGGAGAAUAAGCUCCGGCUAACUCCGUG
rnacentral:rRNA from 1 species